AACGAACGCUGGCGGCAGGCCUAACACAUGCAAGUCGAACGGGACCUUCGGGCCUAGUGGCGGACGGGUGAGUAACGCGUGGGAACGUGCCCUUUGGUUCGGAAUAGCCCCGGGAAACUGAGAGUAAUACCGGAUAAGCCCUACGGGGGAAAGAUUUAUCGCCAAAGGAUCGGCCCGCGUUGGAUUAGGUAGUUGGUGGGGUAAUGGCCUACCAAGCCGACGAUCCAUAGCUGGUUUGAGAGGAUGAUCAGCCACACUGGGACUGAGACACGGCCCAGACUCCUACGGGAGGCAGCAGUGGGGAAUCUUAGACAAUGGGGGAAACCCUGAUCUAGCCAUGCCGCGUGAUCGAUGAAGGCCUUAGGGUUGUAAAGAUCUUUCAGUGGGGAAGAUAAUGACUGUACCCACAGAAGAAGCCCCGGCUAACUCCGUGCCAGCCGCCGCCGUAA
rnacentral:rRNA from 1 species